rnacentral:tRNA from 1 species
GGAGAGGUGGCUCAGUGGUUAAGAGCACUGACUGCUCUUCCAGAGGUCUUGAGUUCAAAUCCCAGCAACCACA